CAUCCUCUGAAGGGAGGGGCUUGGACUGGUUUAGGGUUUAUCCGAAUUAGUGGAGGAGCGUUUGCAGACUGGUUCCCCCUUUCCUCUCCUCUCACACGGAUCCGCAGCUCUACUUUGUCCCGUUAAGAUCCGCAGAGUGCACUCAUGGAGGAUUUGGACUUUGAGCGGCGCCGGGAGCUGAGGAAGCAAAAGCGGGAGGAGAUGCGUCUGGAGGCUUCACGGAUGCUGCGAAACAACGAUGAUGAGGAGGAGGCUGCUCGGGAAAGGAGGCGUCGGGCACGCCAGGAGAGACUGAGGAGCAGGGAGAGUGAGGAUCCCAGUGACCAGCUGGAGAGCCCGGUCGUGACAAACAGCCACAGUGUGAUGGAAUCCGUGUCUGUGAGCAGCGGCGGCGGAGAAGACGACGAUCAGGCCCUGCAGGACCGCAUGGCCAAACGGGAAGAGAGACGGCAGCGACGCCUGAAGGAGGCGCUAGAAAGGCAGAAGCAGCUGGACCCUGCUACCUCUGAGGGGAGCGAUGGCUUCACUGUUGAGAAGAACAAUACAGAGGCGGAGGAGAGGUCCUCCUCCUGGCGCAGAGGUCGAUACCGUGACGACCAGGACGAGGAGAACACUGUGAGCAUGAAGCGAGAGGAGCCUAAAGAGGAGGAGCAGGAGGAAGAGGAGGAGACUGCUCCGGAGAGAGAAGAGGAAGAGGAGCAGAAAUCUCUGAGAAGGUCUAACUACAGAGAGAUGGCAUCACCUGAGGAGCCCAAAGAGAAGGAGAAGGAACUCGCUGAGGAACAAGCUCACUCGGUAGUCAGUGAUUGGUCAAAUCAGGCUGAGUCAGCUAAUUCAGAGGCUGAGGAGGAUGCAGUAGCAUCCGGGGAGAAUGAAGAGGUGAGUGAGUUCAGGGAGGAUCGGAGGAAGCAUAAUGGAGGUCUGCACCAGCAGGAGGAGGAGGCUCCCAAACAGCACAGGAAACCAGAGAGGACCCCCAGCCGCGGCAGCCUGCGCUCCCCCGAAGUGUCGGCAAGCGACGAGCUGGAUGAUGACGCCCGCUUGGAGGCCGAACGCAAGCUGGAGGUGCUUAAGCGUCGCCGUGACGACGCCGAGAGUGAGGAGUUCGAGAGGAUGAGGCAGAAGCAGCAGGAAGCCGAGGUUGAGCUGGAGGAGCUGAAGAAGAAGAGGGAGGGGAGGAGGAAGGUGCUGGAGGAGGAGGAGAGGCUGCGGAAGCAAGAGGAGGACGAGCGGAGAGCCAAGGAGGAGGAGGAGAAGAGGAAGAUGAAGGAGGAAAUCGAGAGAAGAAGAGCAGAGGCCGCUGAGAAGCGACAGAAGGCAGAGGACACCGUGGAUGAAGAGGGCAAGCCCUUCAAGUGUGUCAGCCCUCGAGGCUCCUCUCUUAAGAUUGGGGAGAGAGCAGAGUUUCUGAACAAGUCGGCUCAGAGAAGCAGCUCGGUGAAGGUGGCUCAUACCCCUGUGGUGUCCAAGAUCGACAACCGGCUGGAGCAGUACACCUCAGCUGCUCAGAGAGAAAACAAAGAGUCUCGAUCUCCUCGUGCCGUCGUUGCAGAUCUUCCCGCGGUCACUGAUGUGCGAAAUAUCAAGAGCAUGUGGGAGAGAGGCAACGUGUUUGGCUCUCCAGGGGGAGGAGGGAGUGCGUUUAAGGAAGCAGCUGUGAUAAAGACGGGCGUGGCAGGCCGCAUCAAUGACUGGCUGAACAAAACCCCAGAGAGUGGCAAGACGUCAGGAGGAAGGCCAGCGGACCUGAAACCUGUUGAUGUCACCAACAAAAGGAGCCUCUGGGAAAACAAAGGCGCCACUCCAACAAAGAACUCUCAUAGCUAGUUGACCUCGACAUUCAGUCUGGAAUAAUCCUGGAGAGAUGGCAGGCAGAGGGGAGACCAAAUCAGUCGCUAAUGGUAUGGGACACUAAUGCCCUCAAGGAGCCACCGUAGUUGGGGACCAGGACAAUUUUUCCUUCAUUUUUUAUUUUUAUUUGUAUUUUAUUUUUUUGCCUCUUAAAAACCAAAUAAGGAUCCCAAAUAAAAAACCCCACUGAGAGACCCUGUCGUUGGGUUUCCAAGUAUCGUGCCUUUGCACAAAGAAUUUUCUAUGUUAAAAAAUGCUGUGAAAUUUGAACAUUUAGCUUGUAAAAGAUCUUUCCAAGAUGACAAAAGUGAUUAAGUUUAAGAUGUUUGUCCUCCACGUGGCGACAGAGCGGACCAAAAGCUUCCACAUUCCAGAGCGGUGGGUGAAACCAGUCCUCUUCCUCUCACAGAUCAUGUUUCCAUCCUUUUUUAAUUUAUAUUUAUAGUGAAAGCUUCACCACAUUCCUGUUUUAUUCCACAUUCACCUGUUCAGGAUAGAAACGCGCCAGAAGCACUUUUAGGAUUUAGCUGAUCUCACUUUUUUUAGGAAUAUAUGCCAGCACGUGAUGUUAUGAGUAUCAGAAAGCAUAAUUUAUCACACCUGUGUACUCUGAACAACCCUACUCAAUAACAGGCAGGUCAUUUUAUUAUGCUUUUAUGUCUUUUUAUUUAAGUUUUCAUGUGGUUUAUGGUAUGUAGCUGUUUUUGAAGCUUUGUCGAUCACUUUAAACAAACAAUUAUAUCUUCCAACAUUCCUUUUUAAAAUGGUGCCUUCACUGCUUAAAGCUUCGGGUUUAUAAUAUAAAGAAUAUGUGCAAACCGACCAACUUUUGUAUUCUGCAUUCACUCUAACUUCUUUAUUAUAAUUAUUAUUUUAAGAUUAAGGUAUGCAAAGUAAAAUCUGGUUGCCUGAGUAUAUGUACCACUAUGUAAAACCUCUUGCCUUAUGAUUGCAAUUAAGUCCUUUACAGCAGCUGGAAGUCCGUACAUGAAAGCCUCCCACCAACAGGAGGAGAUCCAGAUGUGUUACUUCUCAUUUAUUAUUAUAAUUAUUAUUAUUUGUGGCUGGAACGAGUGGCUCAUAGCGUUGAUGAGAACAUGAAGGGUUUGUCGGGGCAUUAAAUCAAUUAAUGUUUUUGCUCCAGAGUCUGACAAUCACAUCCCACAGGGGAGCUCGACCAAAACAUCUUAAAGAGUGAAUUAAAGUGAUGUUUAUGGGUUUUUUUAAUACAGUGGUGUUAUAAUGCUGUACUUUUUUACAAUCUUGUGUUCAUUUAAUGCUCCUUUUUUAAAUCCUCUUUUUUUAACUAGGCACUUGUUUGUGUAGCGCUGAGCCUAUGCAACAUCUGUUUGUACCCGUAUCUACUCUAUCUACCGAUGUCAUGACACUUUGUCAAAGUGGAUGAAUGUUUUUAACUUUGUAUUCUUGACACAGCAGCAGCAAUAAAGAUGUUGAGGUAUUCCA